GCCCGGGUGGUGGAAUAGGGAGACACUGGGCACUUAAAAUGCCCUGAGCGAAAGCUCGUGCCGGUUCGAGUCCGGCCCCGGGUACUA
rnacentral:tRNA from 1 species